rnacentral:rRNA from 1 species
UACAGAGGGUGCGAGCGUUGUCCGGAAUCACUGGGCGUAAAGGGCGCGUAGGUGGCGGCCCAAGUCCAUGGUGAAAGCUCGAUGCUCAACAUCGAGUCGGCCACGGAUACUGGGUUGCUCGAGCACUGUAGGGGCAGAUGGAAUUCCGGGUGUAGCGGUGGAAUGCGUAGAGAUCCGGAAGAACACCGGUGGCGAAGGCGGCUUACUGGUCCAUUACUGACGCUGAGGUGCGAAAACGUGGGGAGCAAACAGG